rnacentral:rRNA from 1 species
CCUACGGGUGGCAGCAGUGGGGAAUAUUGGACAAUGGGCGAAAGCCUGAUCCAGCCAUGCCGCGUGUGUGAAGAAGGCCUUCGGGUUGUAAAGCACUUUCAGUGGGGAAGAAAGCCUUGGGGCUAAUACCCUCGAGGAAGGACAUCACCCACAGAAGAAGCACCGGCUAACUCCGUGCCAGCAGCCGCGGUAAUACGGAGGGUGCGAGCGUUAAUCGGAAUUACUGGGCGUAAAGCGCGCGUAGGCGGUCUGAUAAGCCGGUUGUGAAAGCCCCGGGCUCAACCUGGGAACGGCAUCCGGAACUGUCAGGCUAGAGUGCAGGAGAGGAAGGUAGAAUUCCCGGUGUAGCAGUGAAAUGCGUAGAGAUCGGGAGGAAUACCAGUGGCGAAGGCGGCCUUCUGGACUGACACUGACGCUGAGGUGCGAAAGCGUGGGUAGCAAACAGGAUUAGAUACCCGUGUAGUC